rnacentral:rRNA from 2 species
CGAACUCUGGUAUUGAUUGGUGCUUGCAUCAUGAUUUACAUUUGAGUGAGUGGCGAACUGGUGAGUAACACGUGGGAAACCUGCCCAGAAGCGGGGGAUAACACCUGGAAACAGAUGCUAAUACCGCAUAACAACUUGGACCGCAGGUCCGAGCUUGAAAGAUGGCUUCGGCUAUCACUUUUGGAUGGUCCCGCGGCGUAUUAGCUAGAUGGUGGGGUAACGGCUCACCAUGGCAAUGAUACGUAGCCGACCUGAGAGGGUAAUCGGCCACAUUGGGACUGAGACACGGCCCAAACUCCUACGGGAGGCAGCAGUAGGGAAUCUUCCACAAUGGACGAAAGUCUGAUGGAGCAACGCCGCGUGAGUGAAGAAGGGUUUCGGCUCGUAAAACUCUGUUGUUAAAGAAGAACAUAUCUGAGAGUAACUGUUCAGGUAUUGACGGUAUUUAACCAGAAAGCCACGGCUAACUACGUGCCAGCAGCCGCGGUAAUACGUAGGUGGCAAGCGUUGUCCGGAUUUAUUGGGCGUAAAGCGAGCGCAGGCGGUUUUUUAAGUCUGAUGUGAAAGCCUUCGGCUCAACCGAAGAAGUGCAUCGGAAACUGGGAAACUUGAGUGCAGAAGAGGACAGUGGAACUCCAUGUGUAGCGGUGAAAUGCGUAGAUAUAUGGAAGAACACCAGUGGCGAAGGCGGCUGUCUGGUCUGUAACUGACGCUGAGGCUCGAAAGUAUGGGUAGCAAACAGGAUUAGAUACCCUGGUAGUCCAUACCGUAAACGAUGAAUGCUAAGUGUUGGAGGGUUUCCGCCCUUCAGUGCUGCAGCUAACGCAUUAAGCAUUCCGCCUGGGGAGUACGGCCGCAAGGCUGAAACUCAAAGGAAUUGACGGGGGCCCGCACAAGCGGUGGAGCAUGUGGUUUAAUUCGAAGCUACGCGAAGAACCUUACCAGGUCUUGACAUACUAUGCAAAUCUAAGAGAUUAGACGUUCCCUUCGGGGACAUGGAUACAGGUGGUGCAUGGUUGUCGUCAGCUCGUGUCGUGAGAUGUUGGGUUAAGUCCCGCAACGAGCGCAACCCUUAUUAUCAGUUGCCAGCAUUAAGUUGGGCACUCUGGUGAGACUGCCGGUGACAAACCGGAGGAAGGUGGGGAUGACGUCAAAUCAUCAUGCCCCUUAUGACCUGGGCUACACACGUGCUACAAUGGAUGGUACAACGAGUUGCGAACUCGCGAGAGUAAGCUAAUCUCUUAAAGCCAUUCUCAGUUCGGAUUGUAGGCUGCAACUCGCCUACAUGAAGUCGGA